CCCAACCCAACCCUUGCGUGCGUGUCGUCCGACGCGAUGGACGGCGCCUCGCCAGGGAACUGCACGGGAUCCGCUCGUCUGGCGCGCUGUGCUAGGGUUUGAUCCAUGGCGACUGUGCUAGGGUUCUACUAACGCGACAGCCCCAUGGCGGCUAGGGUUCUACCGACUCGACGGUCGGAGCCUCACCGGGCGACUGCACUGGAUCCGCCAAGUCUGUUGCACGCCCUAGGGUUGUGUUUAGAUUGCAGUGUGAGCGUACAGUGUGGAGGGGAUAGCAAAGCAGGGAGGCCGGGCGAGUUCCUUUUCUGGGACUCUUUUGUAGAGACUCCAGGUGGAGAAUAGAAUGCAGUGCGGAGGAUUAUAAUAGCUUGAUUAUAAUGGUAAAUAAGAUCAAACAUCUUUUCAUAUAUGAUGAACCAUCUUACAUUUUGCGGAGGAAGCAUCACUCCAUAUGUUGAGCUGUCCACGACUGGUUUCCAAGGUUUGACAAAGGGACGGUGAAGAAGAUAAGGGUGCUGCAAACAGUGUAUGCCGAGCAAAUUAUCUGCAUUGCUGUACAAUGUCUUUG